AAGAAAGUAGAUAAGGGCGUACGGGGAAUGCCUUGGUUCUCAGAGGCGAUGAAGGACGUGCUAAGCUGCGAUAAGCUACGGGAAGCCGCACAGAGGCGUUAAUCCGUAGAUUUCCGAAUGGGGAAACCCGGCUGGUUGAAGGCCAGUCACCGAAAGGAGCGAACCCGGGGAACUGAAACAUCUAAGUACCCGGAGGAAGAGAAAACAAUAGUGAUUCCGUAAGUAGUGGCGAGCGAACGCGGAACAGCCCAAACCCUGAUCGUUACGGCGGUUGGGGGGUUGUAGGACUACAAUGUGGACUAUAAAAACGAAGUAGAACGAUUUGGGAAAGUCGACCAUAGAGGGUGAAAGUCCCGUAUACGUAAAGUUUUAUUACCUAGUAGUAUCCUGAGUAGGGCGGAACCGGAGAAAUUCCGUCUGAAUCUGCCAGCACCAUCUGGUAAGGCUAAAUACUCCUGAGAAACCGAUAGUGAACCAGUACCGUGAGGGAAAGGUGAAAAGUACCCUGAAUAAGGGGGUGAAAUAGUACCUGAAACCGUGCGCCUACAAACGGUCGGAGGUCCCUAGUGGAUUGACGGCGUGCCUUUUGCAUAAUGAGCCUACGAGUUAUCCUAAUUGGCAAGGUUAAGUGAUUAAGUCACGUAGCCGGAGCGAAAGCGAGUCUUAACAGGGCGUUCAGUCAGUUGGGGUAGACGCGAAACUUGGUGAUCUACCCAUGGCCAGGGUGAAGUGUAGGUAACACUACAUGGAGGCCCGAACCAGUUCACGUUGAAAAGUGUUUGGAUGAGCUGUGGGUAGGGGUGAAAGGCCAAUCAAACUGAGAAAUAGCUCGUACUCCCCGAAAUGUUUUUAGGAACAGCGUGGGAAUUAGUUUAUCAGAGGUAGAGCUACCGAUUGGACUAGGGGGAGUCAAAUCCUACCAAAUCCAGACGAACUCCGAAUGCUGAUAAAUAUUUCCUGCAGUGAGGGUAAGGGUGCUAAGGUCCUUAUCCGAGAGGGAAAGAACCCAGACCUACUGCUAAGGUCCCUAAAUUUACGCUAAGUUGAACUAAGGAGGUUCAGUUGCUUAGACAGCCAGGAGGUUGGCUUGGAAGCAGCCAUUCCUUUAAAGAGUGCGUAACAGCUCACUGGUCGAGCGACAGAGCAUCGAUAAUAAUCGGGCAUUAAGUGUAAUACCGAAGCAUAGGAUUUGUAGUUUACUACAAGUGGUAGGGGAGCAUUCUCUGUGCGGUGAAGGCGUGUUGUGAGGCAUGUUGGAGCGCAGAGAAGCGCAGAUGUAGGCAUAAGUAACGAUAAUGCGGGCGAGAAACCCGCACACCGAUAGACUAAGGUUUCCCUGGCAAUGCUAAUCAGCCGGGGGUUAGUCGGGACCUAAGGCGAACCCGAAAGGGGUAGUCGAUGGACAAUCAGUUAAUAUUCUGAUACCACCAUUAUUUUUGAUGGGGUGACGGAGCAGUGAAAGUACCGCGUACUGACGGAAUAGUACGUUGAAGCGAGUAGGUAUAGAGACAGUAGGCAAAUCCGCUGACUCUGCUGAACGUGAUAGUACCACAAUGCUACGGCAGCGUGGAUAGUGUACCUAAACAUACUUCCAAGAAAAACCUCUAAAAUUAUGAUAAUGGUGCCCGUACCGCAAACCGACACAGGUAGUCAAGGAGAGAAUCCUGAGGUGCUCGAGUGAUUCGUGGCUAAGGAACUAGGCAAAAUGACCCUGUAACUUCGGGAGAAGGGGUCCCAUGGCAACAUGGGCGCAGUGAAAAGAUCCAGGCGACUGUUUAUCAAAAACACAUGGCUGUGCGAAGUAGAAAUACGCGGUAUACAGCCUGACACCUGCCCGGUGCUGGAAGGUUAAGGGGGGGGCGUUAUCUUCGGAGAAGCGCUGAACUGAAGCCCCAGUAAACGGCGGCCGUAACUAUAACGGUCCUAAGGUAGCGAAAUUCCUUGUCGGGUAAGUUCCGACCUGCACGAAUGGUGCAACGAUCUGGAUACUGUCUCGGCCACGAGCUCGGUGAAAUUGUAGUUCCGGUGAAGAUGCCGGAUACCCGCAACGGGACGGAAAGACCCCGUGAACCUUUACUAUAGCUUCACAUUGGCAUUGGGUAAAUAAUGUGUAGGAUAGGAGGGAGACUUUGAAGCGGUGUCGCUAGGCAUUGUGGAGUCGUUGGUGAAAUACCUCCCUUUAUUUAUCUGAUGCCUAACCCUUCACAGGGGACAUUGUGUGGUGGGUAGUUUGACUGGGGUGGUCGCCUCCAAAAGAGUAACGGAGGCUUUCAAAGGUACCCUCAGCAUGUUUGGUAAUCAUGCGUGGAGCGCAAUAGCAUAAGGGUGCUUGACUGUGAGGCCUACAAGCCGAGCAGGGUCGAAAGACGGAUAUAGUGAUCCGGUGGUUCUGUAUGGAAGGGCCAUCGCUCAAAGGAUAAAAGGUACUCCGGGGAUAACAGGCUGAUCUCCCCCAAGAGCUCAUAUCGACGGGGAGGUUUGGCACCUCGAUGUCGGCUCGUCACAUCCUGGGGCUGGAGAAGGUCCCAAGGGUUGGGCUGUUCGCCCAUUAAAGUGGCACGCGAGCUGGGUUCAGAACGUCGUGAGACAGUUCGGUCCCUAUCUGUUGUGGGCGUAAGAAGCUUGAGUGGAUCUGACCUUAGUACGAGAGGACCGGGUUGGACUAACCGCUGGUGUACCAGUUGUCUCGCCAGGGGCAUAGCUGGGUAGCUACGUUGGGAAGGGAUAAGCGCUGAAAGCAUCUAAGCGCGAAACCCACCACAAGAUGAGGCUUCUUUUAAGGGAUGUUCUAGACUAGGACGUUGAUAGGCUACAGGUGUAAAGGCAGUAAUGUCAAAGCUGAGUAGUACUAAUUACCCGUAAGCUUUCUUUA
rnacentral:rRNA from 1 species